UACGAAGGGGGCUAGCGUUGCUCGGAAUCACUGGGCGUAAAGCGCACGUAGGCGGGUCUUAAGUCAGGGGUGAAAUCCUGGAGCUCAACUCCAGAACUGCCUUUGAUACUGAGGAUCUCGAGUCCGGGAGAGGUGAGUGGAACUCCGAGUGUAGAGGUGAAAUUCGUAGAUAUUCGCAAGGACACCAGUGGCGAAGGCGGCUCACUGGCCCGAUACUGACGCUGAGGCACGAAAGCGUGGGGAGCAAACAGG
rnacentral:rRNA from 1 species